rnacentral:rRNA from 1 species
AGGGCGCAGGGCGGAUGCCUUGGCACCAGGAGCCGAAGAAGGACGUGAUAAGCUGCGAAAAGCUGCGGGGAGGAGCAAAUAUCCAUUGAUCCGCAGGUAUCCGAAUGGGGAAACCCGGCAGAAAGAACUUCUGUCACCGUAUGAUGAAUCCAUAGUCAUACGGAGGGAACCCGGCGAACUGAAACAUCUAAGUAGCCGGAGGAAGAGGAAGAAACAUCGAAUCCCUAAGUAGUGGCGAGCGAAAGGGGACGAAGCCCAAACCAAGGAUUUAUCCUUGGGGUUGAGGACCACAUACGAAGAAGCAGUAGGUAGCAGAACGGUUUUGGGAAAGCCGGCCAAAGAGAGUGAAAGCCUCGUAUGCGAAACAGACUGUGAUUCAGUGGUAUCCGGAGUACUACGGGACACGAGAAACCCCGUAGGAAGCAGGGGGGACCACCCCCCAAGGCGAAAUACUACCUGGUGACCGAUAGAGUAUAGUACCGUGAGGGAAAGGUGAAAAGAACCCCGGGAGGGGAGUGAAAGAGAACCUGAAACCCUGUGUCUACAAGCUGCGGAAGAGCGACUAACGCUCGACCGUGUACUUUUUGUAGAACGGUCCGGCGAGUUGCCGUUGCUGGCAGGUUAAGUACUUAAGGUACGGAGCCGAAGGGAAACCAAGUCUUAAUAGGGCGGUAAGUCAGUAACGGCAGACCCGAAACCGGGUGACCUACCCAUGGCCAGGAUGAAGUCUGCGUAAAAGUGGAUGGAGGUCCGAACACACGUCUGUUGAAAAAGGCGGUGAUGAGCUGUGGGUAGCGGAGAAAUUCCAAUCGAACUCGGAGAUAGCUGGUUCUCCCCGAAAUAGCUUUAGGGCUAGCCUCGGUAUAGUCUAAUGGAGGUAGAGCACUGAAUCGCUGCGGGGGCGUCAAAGUCUACCAAUGCGUAUCAAACUCCGAAUGCCAUAUAGAUGUUUACCGGGAGUCAGACUGUAUGAGAUAAGUCGGACAGUCAAAAGGGAAACAGCCCAGACCAUCUGCUAAGGUCCCAAAGUGUAUGUUAAGUGGUAAAGGAUGUGGGGUUUCGAAGACAACUAGGAUGUUGGCUCAGAAGCAGCCAUUCAUUCAAAGAGUGCGUAAUAGCUCACUAGUCGAGAGGUCCUGCGCCGAAAAUGUCCGGGGCUGAAACAUAACACCGAAGCAAUGGAAUAUACCGUAAGGUAUGUUGGUAGGGGAGCAUUGAUAACACGAAGAAGCGGUACCGUAAGGAGUCGUGGAGAGUUAUCAAGAGAGAAUGCCGGAAUGAGUAGCGAGAUGAAGGUGAGAAUCCUUCAGGCCGUAUAUCCAAGGUUUCCAGGGUAAAGCUGAUCUUCCCUGGGGAAGUCGGGACCUAAGCUCAGGCUGAGAAGCGUAGGCGAUGGACAACUGGUUGAUAUUCCAGUACCUCUGGCUAUCAGAAAUGUGGGGACACGGAGAUUCAGGGAGUGCCUGUAAAGGAUUCAGGUGCAAGCAUGGUUUAUGCCGGGCAGGCAAAUCCGUCCGGGUAAGUGAACUGUGUGAUGCGGACCGAAAUAUAAGUAGGGAAGCUCCUGGGAGAGCCGUCGAGAAAAGCCGCUAUUGUGUAGUCAGAGCCCGUACCGUAAACCGACACAGGUGGAUGGGGAGAGUAUCCCAAGGCCGGCGGGAGAAGCAUUGUUAAGGAACUCGGCAAAAUGGCCCCGUAAGUUCGCGAUAAGGGGUGCCUGUAGAGAUACAGGCCGCAGAGAAUAGGCUCAAGCAACUGUUUAGCAAAAACACAGGUCUAUGCGAAACCGUAAGGUGAUGUAUAUGGGCUGACGCCUGCCCGGUGCUGGAAGGUUACGGGGAGUGCUUAGGAGUAAUCCGAAGGUACGAACUUAAGCCCCAGUAAACGGCGGCCGUAACUAUAACGGUCCUAAGGUAGCGAAAUUCCUUGUCGGGUAAGUUCCGACCCGCACGAAAGGCGUAAUGAUUUGAGCGCUGUCUCAACAAUGCACCCGGUGAAAUUGAAGUACCAGUGAAGAUGCUGGUUACCUGCGCCAAGACGGAAAGACCCCAUGGAGCUUUACUCCAUCUUGGUACUGGGAUUAGAUAUAUGAUGUACAGGAUAGGUGGGAGACUAAGAAGCAGGGACGCCAGUUUCUGCGGAGUCAAUGUUGGGAUACCACCCUUCGUGUAUCUGGUUUCUAACCUUUGCCCGUUAUCCGGGCAGGGGACAAUGCCAGGAGGGGAGUUUGACUGGGGCGGUCGCCUCCGAAAGUGU